AUACGUAGGUGACAAGCGUUAUCCGGAUUUACUGGGCGUAACGCGCGUGUAGGCGGUCUUGCAAGUCAGUAGUGAAAUUCCUGAGCUCAACUCGGGCGCUGCUUCUGAAACUGCAGGACUUGAGUGCUGGAGGGGAUAGCGGAAUUCCUAGUGGAGCGGUAAAAUGCGCAGAUAUUAGGAGGAACACCAGUGGCGAAGGCGGUCAACUGGACGAUAACUGACGCUGAGGCGCGAAAGCGUGGGGAGCAAACAGGAUUAGAUACCCUGGUAGUCCACGCAGUAAACGAUGAUGGCUAACCGCUGGGCUUAUCAGUUCAGUGGCCAAGCGAAAGCGAUAAGCCAUCCACCUGGGGAGUACGACCGCAAGGUUGAAACGCAAAGGAAUUGACGGGG
rnacentral:rRNA from 1 species